GCGGUGGAGCAUGUGGUUUAAUUCGACGCAACGCGAAGAACCUUACCGGGUCUUGACAUCCCCUGAAAAGCUACGAAAGUAGAAUGCCCAUUUGGGACAGGGAGACAGGUGGUGCAUGGUUGUCGUCAGCUCGUGUCGUGAGAUGUUGGGUUAAGUCCCGCAACGAGCGCAACCCCUACCUUUAGUUGCCAGCGCGUUCUGGCGGGCACUCUAAAGGGACUGCCGGUGAUAAACCGGAGGAAGGUGGGGAUGACGUCAAAUCAUCAUGCCCCUUAUGAUCCGGGCUACACACGUGCUACAAUGGGCUGUACAGAGGGAAGCGAAGGAGCGAUCCCAGGCCAAUCCCAAAAAGCAGCUCUCAGUUCGGAUUGCAGGCUGCAACUCGCCUGCAUGAAGUUGGAAUCGCUAGUAAUCGCGGAUCAGCAUGCCCGCGGUCGAAUACGUUCCCGGGCCUU
rnacentral:rRNA from 1 species